rnacentral:lncRNA from 7 species
GAGAAGGCCACGUGGGAUCAGUUAGGAAGGACCCACGUGCAGCAGGGGCGGAGAGUGACCUUGGAGGAGCGGCAGUGAGAAAGUGUUAAGUAUUGCCCCCAGUCCCCGUCCCUUUGAGCUGUUUGUCGUGAGGAGGAGGAGGAGGAGGUAGAAGAAAUGAAGGUUUGAAACUGAACUUGGGAAGAAAGUAAAUAAAGGGAAGGUGUCUGAAGAUACAUGCACUAUGGCAGUUUGAACCUUUGGCUUUUCAUCAUAAAUGAUCUUACAUCUGUGGCCAGGUGGUCUGCUUUUAUGAGGUUCCGAAUGAAAUCUAAUGCCGUUUCCAGCCUCCGUUUUGAGGUUCCUAUCCAUUUGUCAGUCUAAGUAAUGAAGAUGCAACACAUAGGAUGUACUGUCUGAGACUGACGUCUUUAUGUCACAGAUCACUGGAGCAGCUUCAAAGAAAAAUCCUCAUUCUGAAAUUGGAUUACUUCCUUACUUUUUACUCUCUUAGCAUUAUAGUGAUGCACCUCCAUAAAAGAAUGAAUCCUGUAUUGAUGUCCUGUGUUUCUUUGAUUGCAAUAAGGGCAGCUCCUUUUUCUUUAUUGACAAACUGUUGUUACAAUAGUGCAUUUGUAUACCAGUGUACUAUAGCAGCAUUAUGCAUAACUGCAUGAUCCAUGACAAGUACCUUAUAUAGCAAUGUAAUAAGGUCUACAGAACUGUUUGCUGUUUCUUUUUCACAAAAGCUGUUUUAAUACUAACUCCAUUGUUGUUGUUGUUGUUUUUUAAUGCUGCUUAUUCUUGACAAUAUUUUUUUUCUUAUUUAUCAUUUUGCUGGUUAGCUUUCAGCCUGUUCAUCAACAUUCUCUUUUAAAUUAUAUAACUUUUUUCACUCGCCAGUAAAAUUCUUCAAAUUCACUU